rnacentral:tRNA from 1 species
GCCGGAGUGGCGGAAUGGCAGACGCAGCGGACUCAAAAUCCGCCGCUCGCAAGGGCGUAGGGGUUCGAGUCCCCUCUCCGGCA